rnacentral:lncRNA from 1 species
CUACCAAGGACAACACUGCAAACACAGAGUUCUGCCAGUUUCUGCUCAGCACAAAGAGAUUCUUGAAACGUAGGCAGGGAAAUGACAGCUGCCUGUGUGCAAGAUGGCCAAUUCCAGACACCCAACAUACCAGCUUGACAGCCUGAUGUCCAAACCUAUUCCAGUGUCCCCGGCUCAUUGAUCCACUGCAAUUCCUACAGGUACUAGCUGAGUCCACAUUCCCAAGGCAAGAGGCAGCCAUGCCCACUGAGACCUUACCUCUUCAGGCACGAAGGUGAGGGGGGUGACAAAGGAAUAGAAAAAAAGCGUGACUUGAGGAUUUAACUGUACCCCAACACAAAUGCCUAAAGUGAAAUAUUGACACUUCAAAAUAGGCAACUAGGGAUGAACAGGAGGGAAAGAUAGAUUAAGUGAGGAAAGAAAGGAUGAAAGAGAAGGAGGGUGUGGUGUCUGGAGCUGUAUGUACCCCAG